UGACCCUGUCAGUCUAACCUGGCCUAAACCAUUUUAAUACAGGGACAUCUGCUGCCGUUUGGUAUGGAACUGGAGCGAUCUCAUGUUUUUUUAGCCAAAACUCUGUCAAACUCAGUGAUCUGGAUUUUUUAGAGGCAACCAGAGAGAGCAUAGCAUCACUUUCUUGGCAGCCAAGUUAGAUUGUAUGCUUGGUCUUGGACUUCCGGCGAAAUCUGUUGGGAAAGUUGUACCUGUUUGGUAACUAGAAAAAUUCACCAAUUACUUAUCAUCCAACUCAUGAAUUAACUCUGGAACCCAGACCAAGGAAUCUGUUAAAACCAAGCACCCACAACUUCACUAUGAGGCCAAGUUGUACAUGCUACUUCAAGGAGGAACUGGCAGCUGGUGAUUUACUUCAGGAAUCGUACCUAUGUGGAUAAUACGAUGAUGUAUCUGGAUCUCGAUUUCCUGUUUCGUCUGGGAGCCAAGAACUAUUUACAUCAACGUAAAUAGUUUCAUCCGCGGACUCACAAGUCCGGGUUCUUUGCAGAAUCAACGUUGUCGGGAAAUUCAAAGGUAACAGGCAUUCAGAACAUAGAGCAACGACUAGAAACGUCCCUUAGACGCCUUAGAUUGAGAAAGUUAAAAGAGAUUUGAAUGACCCACGUCUCCUGCCAAUUGCUGAAGCUAAAUGUACAUCAAAUGCCAGCGGAGCUGCCUUUUAUAGUUCAGAAGUAUUGAUUGCAAGUCUUUGAGACAUAUUAUUGUUUUGAAUUUGCAAAAAUCUGAAACAAAAGUUAUCAAAUGAUGAUUAUGGUAUGGUUUUGCA